GGGAAAGCAUCAAUUCCAUUCAAAAUUCACGACCUUGGGGGUUUUGCUCGAAUUGGGGUUUGAAAUUGGGUGCUGUUUUGAUGUCCUUGUGCUCUUGAUUUUUGAUUCGGGAAUUAUCUUAGGGCGUUCUGUUCUUGUUCUCUCGAAUUGGGUUUUAGUGUUUUGAUAAUCUUGUGUUCUUGACCUUCGUCGGUGGAUUGAUGAUUGAGGUUUUGGGAUGGUGGG
rnacentral:lncRNA from 1 species